ACACCCUUUGUUUCUCUCCCAACGAACUCUUUCCUUCUUCUCUCUCUUUCCCUUUCCAACCAUUAACCCUAAACCAAAACUCUAUCCAGCGGCGGCGGAGGCCUUUAACCCCCACCUAACUCAAACAAACAACCCAAACCCCAUACCAAAAAAAAAACAAACUAAGUUUGACAAGUCCCUUGCCUCUGUUCCGACUUUGCUAAUUUUCGAGUUUAUGAUCUUUGAUCGUUCCUUCUUUUUUUGA